GACGAACGCUGGCGGCGUGCUUAACACAUGCAAGUCGAACGGAAAGGCCCUGCUUUUGUGGGGUGCUCGAGUGGCGAACGGGUGAGUAACACGUGAGUAACCUGCCCUUGACUUUGGGAUAACUUCAGGAAACUGGGGCUAAUACCGGAUAGGAGCUCCUGCUGCAUGGUGGGGGUUGGAAAGUUUCGGCGGUUGGGGAUGGACUCGCGGCUUAUCAGCUUGUUGGUGGGGUAGUGGCUUACCAAGGCUUUGACGGGUAGCCGGCCUGAGAGGGUGACCGGCCACAUGGGGACUGAGAGACGGCCCAGACUCCUACGGGAGGCAGCAGUGGGGAAUAUUGCACAAUGGGCGGAAGCCUGAUGCAGCAACGCCGCGUGCGGGAUGACGGCCUUCGGGUUGUAAACCGCUUUCGCCUGUGACGAAGCGGGAGUGACGGUAAUGGGUAAAGAAGCACCGGCUAACUACGUG
rnacentral:rRNA from 1 species